AGUAACACGUUGGAACCUGCCCAAAGUGAGAUAGCCACGAAAGUGGUCUAAUACUUCAUAAUAUCCAUCUCGUAUGGAUUAAAGCUUUAUGCGCUUUGGGAGGGGCCUGCGUAACAUUAGCUUGUUGGUGAGGUAAAAGCUCACCAAGGCUUCGAUGUUUAACUGGUUUGAGAGGAUGACCAGUCACACUGGGACUGAGAUACGGCCCAGACUCCUACGGGAGGCAGCAGUAAGGAAUCUUCCACAAUGGGGCAACCCUGAUGGAGCAAUACCGCGUGCAGGAUGAAGCGUUUCGGCGUGUAAACUGCUUUUAUCACCGAAGAUUAUGACUGUAGGUGAAGAAUAAGGACCGGCUAACUACGUG
rnacentral:rRNA from 1 species